rnacentral:rRNA from 1 species
UACGUAGGGUGCAAGCGUUGUCCGGAAUUAUUGGGCGUAAAGAGCUCGUAGGCGGUUCGUCACGUCGGCUGUGAAAUCCCGAGGCUCAACCUCGGGUCUGCAGUCGAUACGGGCGGACUUGAGUACUGCAGGGGAGACUGGAAUUCCUGGUGUAGCGGUGAAAUGCGCAGAUAUCAGGAGGAACACCGGUGGCGAAGGCGGGUCUCUGGGCAGUAACUGACGCUGAGGAGCGAAAGCGUGGGGAUCAAACAGG